rnacentral:rRNA from 1 species
GGAGGGUGCAAGCGUUAUCCGGAUUUACUGGGUUUAAAGGGUGCGUAGGUGGGUCUGUAAGUCAGUGGUGAAAUCUCCGAGCUUAACUCGGAAACUGCCAUUGAUACUAUAGGUCUUGAAUUAUCUGGAGGUGAGCGGAAUAUGUCAUGUAGCGGUGAAAUGCUUAGAUAUGACAUAGAACACCAAUUGCGAAGGCAGCUCACUACGGAUAUAUUGACACUGAGGCACGAAAGCGUGGGGAUCAAACAGGAUUAGAUACCCUGGUAGUCCACGCCCUAAACGAUGGAUACUCGACAUCAGCGAUACACUGUUGGUGUCUGAGCGAAAGCAUUAAGUAUCCCACCUGGGAAGUACGGUCGCAAGAUUG